ACUGAAGGGAUCAGCGUGUUUUCCCUGGCCGAGAGGUUCGGGUAACCCGUUGAACCCCCUUCGUGGUAGGGAUCGGGGCUUGCAAUUAUUCCCCGUGAAC
rnacentral:rRNA from 1 species